rnacentral:tRNA from 1 species
UCCCUGGUGGUUCAGUGGUUAAGACUGCGCUUCCACUGCAGGGGUGCGGGUUUGAUCCCUGCUCAGGGAA